GACGUAGGGCGCGAGCGUUGUCCGGAUUUAUUGGGCGUAAAGAGCUUGUAGGCGGUUUGUCGCGUCUGCUGUGAAAAUCCGGGGCUCAACCCCGGACUUGCAGUGGGUACGGGCAGACUAGAGUGUGGUAGGGGAGACUGGAAUUCCUGGUGUAGCGGUGAAAUGCGCAGAUAUCAGGAAGAACACCCGUGGCGAAGGCGGCUCUCUGGGACGGUACUGACGCUGAGACGCGAAAGCGUGGGGAGCGAACAGG
rnacentral:rRNA from 1 species